rnacentral:rRNA from 1 species
UACGUAGGGGGCAAGCGUUGUCCGGAAUCAUUGGGCGUAAAGCGCGUGUAGGCGGCUAGAUAAGUCUGCUCUGAAAGCCCGGGGCUCAACCCCGGGAGGCGGGUGGAUACUGUCUAGCUCGAGUCCGGAAGAGGAGUGUGGAAUUCCUGGUGUAGCGGUGAAAUGCGCAGAUAUCAGGAGGAACACCAGUGGCGAAGGCGACUACCUGGCCUGUUCUUGACGCUGAGGCGCGAAAGCUAGGGGAGCAAACGGG